rnacentral:lncRNA from 1 species
AUAGCUGAGAACUUCCUUAAUCUGGGGAAGGAAACAAGGAUUUGAGUCCAAAAGGCAGAGACUUGGGAACAUGUUGCUUCAGUAUUUCCAUCAGUUGAAUAAUUCACCUUGUGCAGGACUAUCUUGGGGACUCUCCCCCCUGCCCCCCACGUAGGUCUACAAGUGUUAAGAAUCUGAGCAGUUCAGGGAGGAACCAAGUACAUGGGGACCUGAGGACAGGACACCCUGAGGCAGGAUACUAAGAUAUGUCCCAAACUGCAAAAAACAGAAAACACCAUACUCUUUUAGAAGAAGGAAGAAAAAAAAAAAAAAAGCAUAUAUAGAAAGAAUAAACCUCCUUGGUUCUAGAAGAUAUCUUCUUCGGGAAAACUAGAAUGGAAACUAAUAGGCGUUCUCUCUCUGGACUGAAGUUUUUCAUUGUGAAAAAUUUUCCUCUGAGGUAGGGGUGAGGAAGGAUUUUCUGGCCACUUCAAGAGACGCACACCCAAAGACAGAACUGGGGCCGGGUGGAGGAAGGCCAGAACACUAGCAUCUUUGGUACCAGAUGGUCCUGGGUAUAGUGACAAAAGCGCUGAAGGGAAUGGAAGGAAGAUGUCUUUGACAGAGUUGUGGAUUCCUGAAUUUUACAAUUUUCCUGGGGUGCAUGUUUCUUUUGCAGACCCUCCUGUCCACGAGCAGAUGUCUGUUCCUUAGAGACGGCUUACUGACCGCAAGACGUGGCAUUCAUCACUGUCCUUUGCUCAAGCUGGCUCAUUCGCUUCUGCCAAUUGACCCUCAUGGAAGGGAGGGAUCAGAAAGAAUGGAACUAUGGCCAGGGAAUACCAUUCCCUCUUCAAUUUUUGCAAACCCCACUGGCCCACUGAUUUUCACUGGUCAAUUUUCUCUAACUGCAAAGCCAAUGAUAUUUAUAAAAACAUAUCACUUAAAUAUUCUGAGUUACUUACUGCGGGUCAUAUGUUUCUUUUCUGUCCUACUUCAUCCCUGAUCUUUCUUUCUUGUUAUCCCUUUUAUCUAAUAGUCUCUUAAAUGACAAUGUUCCUCAUGGAUGUCCUAGAUCUCUCUGUUUCUUUUCUUCUUUGCUCCCCUCCUUUUCUUCCUUUUUGUUCCCUUCCCUUCUCUUCUUUUUUCAGUCUUUGUACCUCCUCUACAUGGUCUCGUCCUUUCCUAAGAUUUACCCCUUAUGUGAUCUUGAUCUCAUCUUCAGACCUCUUUCCCCAACCAUUGCCCACUGAACAUUUCUAUAUUUAUGUCCCAUAGGUACUGUGAGCUUGUUCAAAAUAGACUUUGUAAUUCUCCUUCCAAACUUAAUUCUCAUCCUUCAUGCCCAUCUGGGUGAAUGGCUUCCCCAUCCAAGUAUUCAUCCCAGCCGGAUACUUUGUAUUAUCCUUGCUCUUCUUGUUUUUAAUCAGUCUGAUUGUGCCACUCUUAUUUGCUCACAGGCUAAAAUCCAAGCUCCUGGAAUAUCACACAAAAAGUUCAAUGGUGUGGGCCCCUGGGUGGCGCAGUCGUUAAGCGUCUGCCUUCGGCUCAGGGCGUGAUCCCAGCGUUCUGGGAUCGAGCCCCACAUCAGGCUCCUCUGCUAGGAGCCUGCUUCUUCCUCUCCCACUCCCCCUGCUUGUGUCCUCUCUCUCCCUGGCUGUCUGUCUCUGUCAAAUAAAUAAAUAAAAUCCUAAAAAAAAAAAAAAAAG